rnacentral:tRNA from 1 species
CGGGGAGUAGCGCAGCCUGGUAGCGCACCUGCUUUGGGAGCAGGGGGUCGGAGGUUCGAAUCCUCUCUCCCCGACCA